rnacentral:rRNA from 1 species
UCGGAAAUGAGAGAGCGGCGUACGGGUGCGGAACACGUGUGCAACCUGCCUUUAUUGGGGGAUAGCCUUUCGAAAGGAAGAUUAAUACUCCAUAAUAUAUUGAACGGCAUCGUUUAAUAUUGAAAGCUCCGGCGGAUAGAGAUGGGCACGCGCAAGAUUAGCUAGUUGGUGAGGUCACGGCUCACCAAGGCGAUGAUCUUUAGGGGGCCUGAGAGGGUGAUCCCCCACACUGGUACUGAGACACGGACCAGACUCCUACGGGAGGCAGCAGUGAGGAAUAUUGGUCAAUGGGUGCAAGCCUGAACCAGCCAUCCCGCGUGAAGGA